UACGUGGGGGGCAAGCGUUGUUCGGAAUUACUGGGCGUAAAGGGUUUGUAGGUGGCUUGCUAAGUCAGACGUGAAAUCCCUCAGCUUAACUGGGGAACUGCAUUGAAAACUGGUGGGCUUGAGUCCGGGAGAGGGUCGCGGAAUUCCGGGUGUAGCGGUGAAAUGCGUAGAUAUCCGGAGGAACACCGGUGGCGAAGGCGGCUUCCUGGACCGACACUGACGCUGAGGCGCGAAAGCUAGGGGAGCAAACGGG
rnacentral:rRNA from 1 species